rnacentral:rRNA from 1 species
UUGUGCCUACGGGGGGCAGCAGUGGGGGAUAUUGCACAAUGGGGGGAACCCUGAUGCAGCGACGCCGCGUGGGUGAAGGAGUAUUUCGGUAUGUAAAGCCCUAUCGGCAGGGAAGAAUUUAGACGGUACCUGACUAAGAAGCCCCGGCUAACUACGUGCCAGCAGCCGCGGUAAUACGUAGGGGGCAAGCGUUAUCCGGAUUCACUGGGGGUAAAGGGAGCGGAGAAGGCCAGGCAAGCCUGGAGGGAAAGCCCGGGGCCCAACCCCGGGACUGGUCUGGGAACUGUCAGGGUG